CCUACGGGAGGCAGCAGUGGGGAAUAUUGGGCAAUGGGCGCAAGCCUGACCCAGCAACGCCGCGUGAAGGAAGAAGGCUUUCGGGUUGUAAACUUCUUUUGUCAGGGACGAAGCAAGUGACGGUACCUGACGAAUAAGCCACGGCUAACUACGUGCCAGCAGCCGCGGUAAUACGUAGGUGGCAAGCGUUAUCCGGAUUUACUGGGUGUAAGGGGCGUGUAGGCGGGACUGCACGUCAGAUGUGAAAACCACGGGCUCAACCUGUGGCCUGCAUUUGAAACUGUAGUUCUUGAGUACUGGAGAGGCAGGCGGAAUUCCUGGUGUAGCGGUGAAAUGCGUAGAUAUUGCGCAGAACUCCGAUUGCGAAGGCAGCAUGCCGGCUCCACACUGACGCUGAGGCACGAAAGCGUGGGUAUCGAACAGGAUUAGAUACCCCUGUAGUC
rnacentral:rRNA from 1 species